UGAAAGUUUGUGGCUCAACCAUAAAAUUGCCUUUGAUACUGCAUGUCUUGAGUCAUGGUGGGGUUGCCGGAACAUGUGGUGUAGCGGUGAAAUGCAUAGAUAUCACAUAGAACACCGAUCGCGAAGGCAGGUGACCAACCAUGUACUGACGCUGAUGGACGAAAGCGUGGGUAGCGAACGGGAUUAGAUACCCCGGUAGUCCACGCCGUAAACGAUGGAUACUAGCUGUGGGGA
rnacentral:rRNA from 1 species